rnacentral:misc_RNA from 1 species
GAUGAAGAACGUAGCGAAAUGCGAUACUUGGUGUGAAUUGCAGAAUCCCGUGAACCAUCGAGUCUUUGAACGCAAGUUGCGCCUCAAGCCAUUAGGUUGAGGGCACGUCUGCCUGGGCGUCACAUAUCGUUGCCUGAUGCCAGUUUCCUCGUGAUGGGUGACUGUGCAGGGCGAAUGAUGGCUUCCCGUGAGCAUUGUUGCCUCAUGGUUGGUUGAAAAUUGAGUCCUUGGUAGGGAGCGCCGUGAUAGAUGGUGGUUGAGUGACGAACGAGACCCAAUCAUGUGAGACCCCUACCGAAUUUGGCCUUCAUGACCCACAUGCGUCUUUGGAACGCUCAUGACGAGACCUCAGGUCAGGCGGGGCUACCCGCUGAGUUUAAGCAUGUCAAUAAGCGGAGGA